CCUACGGGUGGCAGCAGUAGGGAAUUUUGCGCAAUGGGCGAAAGCCUGACGCAGCAACGCCGCGUGAUUGAUUAAGCCCUUCGGGGUGUAAAGAUCUGUCAGUGGGGACGAAACUUGACGGUACCCACAGAGGAAGCACCGGCUAACUCCGGGCCAGCAGCCGCGGUAAUACGGAGGGUGCAAGCGUUGUCCGGAAUCAUUGGGCGUAAAGGGUUCGUAGGUGGCUUAUUAAGUCGGGUGUUAAAUGCAGAAGCUCAAAUUCUGUCCGGCACUGGAUACUGGUAAGCUUGAAUGCGAUAGAGGUAUAGGGAAUUCCUGGUGUAGUGGUGAAAUGCGUAGAUAUCAGGAAGAACAUCGGUUGCGUAAGCGCUUUACUGGGUCGUAAUUGACGCUGAGGAACGAAAGCCGGGGUAGCAAAUGGGAUUAGAUACCCCAGUAGUC
rnacentral:rRNA from 1 species